AAAUCAUCAGCUCCGUGGACACCCGUACUGGGGCUGACAAAUCCUUCCAUGAUGCAGGACCGUUCGGUGGCACUGUUGGGUUGUCGUUAUCGAAGAGGAGGACUAUGAUGGAAAAUGGAGACCUUCUCCAGUGGGCUUCUCAAUCCGUGGUCAAUCUUUGCACUGCAAAGAGGAAAGCAGGGAUAUCAAGACCUUGCUGUCCAGGGCUCAGCAGUUUUAUUUGAUACUGGGCUGGGUAGUAAAUGUGUUAGUCUCAGCAAGCCACACUGUCUCUUUCCCAGUCCCCCACCUCCGCCACCAUAAGGUUGACUUACUCCAUAAACUCGGGGGAACCUUGGGGGCCUGUAAAUGGCGUCCCCUGGAAGUACUGCCAUCUGAGCCUGUUCAAGGGCUGUCUCAGGCAGUGUUCCCAGGGGACUAGACCUCUGAAGGUCCCAGGACACACAGCUGCUGAACAGUCCACAUGGCACUUGAAGAACAUACUUGAUGCCUAUGGUAGAACAUGGAAUUUCAGGGAUGCUCCAGCGGCAGUAAGCGGACCUCAAGCUGGAUGGGUGUGGUCAGUUCUACUUCAGACCACAAGAGACUGCCAUUCAUUCCUGGAAGCUUCCAGCUGUACCAUCUACCCAGCCUCCUCUGCUACUUAGAACCUUCACUGGUCACUGCUCCCUGCUCUCACUCCCAACCACCUUCACUUAUUUUAAUACUAACAUGGAAUGUGCUAAUAGUCGAUUAAACUGCUUCUCAUUGAGGGCUGUUAACAUUUUCAUAAGUUCAGGGAGCAUUUUAAGUGAAACAUGCAGAGCCAGGGAUGGAGCAGUGCACCUCCUCGUACUGAUGUGUGAUAUGAAGGCAGAUUGGUAAUUUGGUGGGAGUGGGUAGGAAGACUUAGAAGUAUUGCACAGGCGUCACAGUGUAUAGUCUCUGUGGCUCUGCAGAAUUCUGUUUAGGAUGGGAAUGACACUUUUUGAAAUUGUGUCACAUAGUGGCAACCCAGGCAGUGUGUGUGUGUGUGUGUGUGUGUGUGUGAGAGAGAGAGAGAGAGAGAGAGAGGUGGGAUAAUGCUCUUAUUCACGUAAAGAUUUGUCUCUCGUAUCGGUUUAAUUAAAUGCUGUUUGGCCAAUAGUCAGGCAGGAAGUAGAGGUGGGGCUACCAGACUAGGAGAAUUAUGGGAAGAGGAAAGGCAGAGACAAAUCAGCCAAACA